GCAAUCCACGGCACUUGAAGAGAGAUAGACGGGAUUUCCAGCCAUGUUUUUCUACGUUCUUCUGCUUGCUCUAAUGGCCCAGGGCUGGAGCCUUCCACAAGGGAAGACAGGAGAAGAUUCUCCAGUCUUCAGGCCUCCUUCUCCACCCAUGGGCCCUAGCCUUCCUCCACCUGUCAGCCAUGACCUGCACAGGCCAUCGGGUCACCCUGAGGAGUUCAGAACUGGAGCAUCUUUACCUCCAAAAGAAACCCCCAAUGAACCGAGGCAUGGCAGGCCUAAGAGAGAUCUUCAUCAUGGGAAAGUUGUCCCCACUGGAGUCCCUCAUCAUAGCAGAUUAGUAGUCAGCACAACUGCAACUCACUUCUUUGGCUGGGUGCACGUCCUCCAGUGGCCACCUUCCACUGGCAAUAUUAGCGAAGAAAGUUAGUCCAGCACCCACUGUUUCAUGAAUAAAACGGCCUUUAUUGGACCAAGGGCAUUACAGCAACGUUUCAGACCAACUGGUCUUUUAUCAAGCUAACCAACAUGUGAUUCAAUAGUGCUAUUUAUACACUCCCACUGGAGUCCCUCAUCACACAGGAGAAGUCCUACAUUACACAGACCAUUCUUCUAAUACCCACAAGUCACAUGAAGAAAACAGACCUGAAGGGUUCAGGACUGGACGUCCCUUGCUACCCAUAAAACCUGAGCAUGGCAGGCACAGGAGAGAUCUUCAUCAUGGGAAAGCUGUCCCUACUGGAGUCCCUCAUCACACAGAAAAAUUCCACAACGGCAGCAAUGGAAAAAGCCAUCCUCCCAGACCAGGCCAUUCCACCUUUGCCCACAAUGACAACUCAAGUGAAGAAAAGAGACCAAAACAUGGUCGGGAACAAGGAAAGAAGCAUUAGUAAACAUAAAAAGAAGAAAAAGUAAAAAAGAUACUGAGUACAUUGGAUGGAAUUAUUAAAGUUAUGGCAAAACCAAUAAAGUGACGAUGAUACA